rnacentral:rRNA from 1 species
CCCUUAGAUGUUCUGGGCCGCACGCGCGCUACACUGAUUCAUGCAACAAGUUUUGUCCUUGGCUGAUAGGCCUGGGUAAUCUUUGAACGUGAAUCGUGAUGGGGAUAGAUGAUUGCAAUUAUUCAUCUUCAACGAGGAAUUCCUAGUAAACGCAAGUCAACAGCUUGCAUUGAUUACGUCCCUGCCCUUUGUACACACCGCCCGUCGCACCUACCGAUUGAAUGGUCCGGUGAAAUCUUCGGAUCUGAGAGAUGUCUGAUUAAUUUCGGACGCCUUUUGGAAAAGUUGUUUAAACCUUACCAUUUAGAGGAAGGUGAANUCGUANCA